UCUCCAGGUAACUUCAAAACAAUGUAAAACUUAACCUAUAAUGCACGCUUAACCCUUACCUGUUUAACUCUUUACCUCCCACAGAGGGCUAGCAACCAGAAGAGAACGGCAACACGCACAAGGCACGUCAGCUACCAAUAAAGCACGCUCAACCCAUUCCCCCCUCCAUAGUGACCCAGCAAGGGGGCUAGCAACCAGAAAAGAACGGCAACACGCAUGAGGCACGUCUGCUACCAAUAAUGCACGCUCAACCCAUUCCCCCUCCAUAGCGACAAAGCAAGAGGGCUAGCAAGCAGAAGAGAACGGCGACACUCAUGAGGCACGUCAGCUUCAAAUAAUGCACCUUAAACCCAUUCCCCCUCCAUAGUGAUCCAGCAAG